rnacentral:rRNA from 1 species
CCUACGGGGGGCAGCAGUGGGGAAUAUUGCACAAUGGGGGAAACCCUGAUGCAGCGACGCCGCGUGAGUGAAGAAGUAUCUCGGUACGUAAAGCUCUAUUAGCAGGGAAGAAAAGGACGGUACCUGACUAAGAAGCCCCGGCUAACUACGUGCCAGCAGCCGCGGUAAUACGCCGGGGGCAAGCGUUAUCCGGAGUUACUGGGUGUAAAGGGAGCGUAGACGGGAGGACAAGUCUGGAGUGAAAUCCCGGGGCUUAACCCCGGAACUGCUUUGGAGACUGUGCGGCUGGAGUGCAGGAGGGGUAGGCGGAAUUCCUAGUGUAGCGGUGAAAUGCGUAGAUAUUAGGAAGAACACCGGUGGCGAAGGCGGCUUACUGGACUGUAACUGACGUUGAGGCUCGAAAGCGUGGGGAGCAAACAGGAUUAGAUACCCUUGUAGUC